CGAGAGAAAAUCAACUGACCACCUCUUCGAUCGCCCCUAUUCAGCAGCCCAAACGUUCCUGCUGCCGAGUACCUCUACAGUAGCAUCCACCUCCGCGAGCAGGUUCUCUCUUGCUACGACUCCUCCCACCUCCACCACUCCCAUUCCUUCCCACUCUCCGUUCCUCCUCCCGCCUCUGGCCCCAAUCAUAUUGAGUGCUCGGUUACCGAAAUUGGGGGCUUGAGCUGUUGAAACACCAACCACCGCAAGUUUGAGGGCGAAGCCACCAACCACCCCUUCCUCACUUAGUGUUUCCUCCAAGAAGAUGGUUGAGAAAUCUACGACGAGAGCUCCAUUCGAUAGAGGAAUUUGAGCAGUGAGGAGUUCUGAUAUGAGUUGAACUUACAUUUUCAUCCCUUAUUGUUCGUGAGCAGAGCUUUGGGUUAUUGUCAUCAAAGAGCAUAUUCUGAAUAGGGCUAAUUUUUCUUGGAAUUUUGCCUUUGAGAAUUGUGAUUACUGAAAGACGCUAAUUUUUUCCUUAUUCUUUUGUUUAAACAUCAUUUCUUACGAAAAUGGGGAAAGAAUGAUUUCCUAAAUGUCUUUUUUGGUUCUUUCUUGUGAAUUUAAAGUAGAUGAUUAGCUCCAGAAGAGUAGCUCCUUUUUGGAAAGAGUUAAUCAUCUAGUUGAUGGAUACAGGUUAAAUUUCUCUUUGUUGUGCAGUAUUUUGAACUGUUGAUGUUGAGUAUGUGCUGGGUUUCUUUCGUUAUUUUCGUUGGGUUAGUAUGGUAUCUGUUUUGAGGUGUGGAGGUGUAAUACUAAAUACUGGUCCAAUGAGUUUCAGUUUUGUUCUUUUUAUGAGAAAUUCGAACUGUGGGUCUAAUGAGUUUUAUCCUUCUUAUUAUGU